CCUACGGGUGGCAGCAGUGAGGAAUAUUGGGCAAUGGAGGCAACUCUGACCCAGCCAUGCCGCGUGAGUGAAGAAGGUUUUCGGAUUGUAAAGCUCUUUCUGAUGUGACGAUGAUGACGGUAGCAUCUAAAGAAGCCCCGUCUAACUACGUGCCAGCAGCCGCGGUAAUACGGAGGGGCAAGCGUUGAUCGGGAUUACUGGGCGUAAAGGGAGUUUAGGCGGGUUAGUAAGAUAGUGGUGAAAUCCCAGGGCUUAACUUUGGAAUUGCCAUUAUAACUAUUAGACUAGAAUUACAGAGAGGAUAGUGGAAUACGCGGUGUAGAGGUGAAAUUCGUAGAUAUUGGGUAGAACCCCAGUUGCGAAGGCGACUAUCUGGCUGUACAUUGACGCUGAGGCACGAAAGCAUGGGGAUCAAACAGGAUUAGAUACCCUUGUAGUC
rnacentral:rRNA from 1 species